UUCGCCACGCCCGCUACGAGAAACUUAAAGGAAUUGACGGGGCCCGGCACAAGCGGAGGAGCAUGUGGUUUAAUUCGAUGAUACGCGAGGAACCUUACCUGGGCUCGAACGUAAGAUGACUGUAGGUGAAAGCUUACAUCUCUUCGGAGCAUUUUACGAGGUGCUGCAUGGUUGUCGUCAGCUCGUGCCGUGAGGUGUCGGGUUAAGUCCCAUAACGAGCGCAACCCCUACCUUUAGUUGCCAUCAGGUAAUGCUGGGGACUCUAAAGGAACUGCCUACGCAAGUAGUGGGGAAGGCGGGGAUGACGUCAAAUCAGCACGGCCCUUACGUCCAGGGCUACACACGUGCUACAAUGGCCGAUACAGAGGGCAGCUACCUGGUGACAGGAUGCAAAUCUCCAAAGUCGGUCUCAGUUCGGAUCGGAGUCUGCAACCCGACUCCGUGAAGUUGGAUUCGCUAGUAAUCGCGCAUCAGCCAUGGCGCGGUGAAUACGUUCCCGGGCCUU
rnacentral:rRNA from 1 species